GUUAAUUUUUAUUAAUUCUCUUAUCUCCUCUCGACAUUUGGAUUCCUCAUGGUUACCUCGAUGUUUAGCAUCGGGGUUUUU
rnacentral:ncRNA from 1 species